ensembl:ncRNA F29G9.17 ncRNA
AAAUAAAAUAACACACUUGCACAUGACUCCACAAGAGUUAAACGGCGUUUAUGAUGCGCUUUUUCACACACACGGCGAGGUUGCGGCGGCACACGCCGGAUAAUCCGUCCGGAAAUGCGUUUACUCAACAGCUCAUGCAACGCAUCCUUG